GACGUAGGGCGCGAGCGUUGUCCGGAUUUAUUGGGUUUAAAGGGUGCGUAGGCGGUUCUUUAAGUCCGGGGUGAAAGCCCACUGCUCAACAGUGGAACUGCCCUGGAAACUGGAGAACUUGAGUACAGACGAGGGCGGCGGAAUGGAUGGUGUAGCGGUGAGAUGCAUAGAUACCAUCCAGAACCCCGAUUGCGAAGGCAGCUGCCUAGACUGUAACUGACGCUGAGGCACGAAAGCGUGGGGAGCGAACAGG
rnacentral:rRNA from 1 species